GAAAUGCGAUACUUGGUGUGAAUUGCAGAAUCCCGUGAACCAUCGAGUCUUUGAACGCAAGUUGCGCCCGAAGCCAUUAGGCCGAGGGCACGCCUGCCUGGGUGUCACACAUCGAUGCUUCCAGGUUAGG
rnacentral:misc_RNA from 1 species